AUUUAAGGACAAGACAAUGCUCCUCAACUCUUACUGUACAACCGACACAAAAUUGUUAUGUGUAUAAACUAACGACCUCCAAGUUGGAGUGAUAUACACCUAAAAGAGUUAGGGACAGCAUCAAUACACAAACUAAAUGGCUCUAACAAUCUUUUCCCUCAACGCCAAAGGGCUCAAUUCACCACAUAAAAGGAGAUUAGGUCUAGCCGAAAGCAAAGAAACGUAGUUCACGUAGCUUUCUACCAAGGAACACACUUUCUCAGAAACCAAAUGCCUAGAUUUUCAUCUAAAUUCUACCCUAUUGGAUACCAUGUAGGCUACGCAAAAAAGAAGAGAGGCGUAUCAAUAUUGAUCAGCAAGGACGUCUCCUUCACACUUCAUAAGAAAGUAGGGGACAAGGAAGGGAGAUACCUUUUAAUACAGUGUCAGAUAAAUAAUGAACCGUACAUGCUUCUGAAUGUCUACGGUCCCCACGAAAAC